rnacentral:lncRNA from 1 species
GGGAACUAAGUAUUUCCCAAGGAAGUUUAUAAGUGUUUUCACAUUUAAGUUGAGAGGAAACUGAGAUUUCCAAAAGAGUUUUGAGAAGUUUGAGCACUAUCUCUUUUAAAAAGAAAAGAUAAGUUUUUGAAAAAAGAGUUUCUAAAAUAUGAUUAGUAUGACAAAUCGAGUAUGUCAUCAAUGUUUAAACAGUAUGGUCUCUAGAUGUACCAUCAAUGUUUAAGCAGUAUGAAUAUCCCGAGUCAUCAAUGAUCAUAUUAAAAAUAUGGUUUUGAUUUGUUCUAUUUAGAAAGAGUUUUCAAGUGCCUUCGGGCUAAGUUUUGAGUAAUUAUCUCAACUAAAGAAAGAUGUGUUUAAAACACUUAUGAGCUAAAGUAUUUUUGGGAGUAGUCUUGAGCACCGAGUUGGGGACACGAGUUCAUAUUAACUCAACUCUCCAUAGGAACCAUGUAGCCAACAUGGGAUUUAAC